AUAACGUUGAGUAAAAAUAACCAAUAGUUAAUUAUUCAAACUAAAAAGAUAUUCUCAAUGGUAUUCCCAAAUUCAAUUUUGAGAAUUUAUCAAGAACACAGUUGAUAUUCAGUAACGUAGAGUAGGUUCGAAAUUGGGGAGGAAUUUUAAAGAAUGUUUCAUUUUUGUGAUCGUGGUACGAAGAAUUUCAGUCACGCAAAUAUUUUAAAAUAAAAUCAUACAACCACAAAUAUGAUCAAUUUAUACAUUAUUAUAUUAUAUAAUAUAAAGCAUAGUCAAUUAUGAUAGGUGUGAAAAACGGUUACCACGUAGAAUAUAAUAUUGGCUCGUUCGGGUUGUGCCUUUGAAUAUUUGGAACUUGCUGCUGCCACCUCACAUUAUAUGUCAGGAUUGAAGAGGUUAUAUACGUGACGUGCUUGUUAAACGUGAUCGGCUCUGGAAUUUACACAUUCGUCCUGUGUGCAAGAUGAAGUGUAUAAUCCGAUUUUCACCCGAUGUUGCUUGUAUAAAUUGCAACCAAAACUUCCCCUAUACCUCUAUUCAGAAACGCUGAAGAGUUGACAAUUUUGUAAACUCACUAGUGCAUCAAGGAUAGACAACGGGUGAGUACAGAAUUAUUCAAAUAUCAAGAUACCUUGUUAAAAAUAGUAAGAUAUUUAUGAUAAUAUAAUAGAGUUAGUGGAUACUAUUGCAAAAAAAAUAUUUUUGU